rnacentral:lncRNA from 1 species
AUUUGAAAAGUAUUUGUGAAAUGCAUCAAAUUUGUCUUGUAUGCCAUUCUGUCAUUGACACUUCCUUAAGUAAGCAAACCAAAGCAUUUCUAAUAUCUGUCUUUCCAGAUAGAUUGUGAGCUUCUCAAGGAUUAAGGCCCUAUCUCCAGAACCUUGCAGAUGUGAGACACAUAGUAAGUGAGUGCUAAAUAAAUACUGAGCAAAUCAAUUAUGAAUAAUCUGUGCUUAUAAGGAGGAAGCAACUUGGUGACUGACCUUCGUGUUCUUUUAAGCAUCUUUUUUAGAUAGUUAAGGGCAGUGGGAACAUUUACUAUCACAAGGCUUAGUAUUGAAAACCAGUUCCUUAAUGUGUGUACUCUUAGGCAAGGUACUAAAACUUCUCUAAAGCUAAUUUUCCUCAUCCUUAAAGUAAAAUGAGAUAACAUGUGGAUAAAGUACUUUGCAUGGUUUCUGACAUUUAGUAAGUGUUCCACAAAUGGUGGCUAGUACAAUUACAAGAAACAUGCGUUUUAACUUUUUAUCUAUGGUUUUCUCUCAAGUUUAAAGUAUACUCAUUGAGUGGCAAAAAAUAGUAGAAUAUGUGAAACUUGAUAAGAGACUUGACCCAUUCCAUGACUAUGCCAACCCAGAAAGUAGAAACCUUAUAACUAGUAGGCUGUUUGUUUAAUGAAACUGAAUUUCAUGAACAGUCAUUGAUAAUUAAGUAGAUAAUCAUGGCUCUUAUCAUUGAAAUAUCAUUGAAAUAAAUUUACUUAUUUUAGAAGUUGU